CACGGGGGGAGCAAGCGUUGUUCGGAAUCACUGGGCGUAAAGGGCGCGUAGGCGGCUUUUCAAGUGACGGGUGAAAUCCCUCGGCUUAACCGAGGAACUGCCUGUCAGACUGGAAGGCUUGAGACCGGGAGAGGUGAGUGUAAUUCCCAGUGUAGCGGUGAAAUGCGUAGAUAUUGGGAGGAACACCAGUGGCGAAGGCGGCUCACUGGACCGGAACUGACGCUGAGGCGCGAAAGCGUGGGGAGCAAACAGG
rnacentral:rRNA from 1 species